rnacentral:lncRNA from 1 species
CGCGAGGAAAAAAGUUCCCGGGCGGCCUGGCUGCGCUCGCUCGCGGCCCCGAGCGCCAGGUGGACCGUGCGCGCCCCGACAGCACCCCCUGGCGGUCCGAGCGCCCCACUGCAGCCCCCCCCCCGCCCGCGCUCCGGCCGGGGUUGGGGGUGGGGUCUGGCGCAGCCCUGAACGACUCUCACGGGCCCGCCUCGAAGCUGGGGACCGGGGCCACAGUAGAGCUGAGGAUUUGGGCUCAAAUCCUGCCAUCAGAUGCUUCCAGUCAAUUUCAAAACUCCCUCAGGUGGGUGCCCACUGCCAUCUGUUUGGGAAGCUGCCCCCCCACCCCACCCAGCCUCAGGACCAGAUCAGCAACCUCACUGAAGCCUGUUCCAUUGUCCUUUGCUGGAGGUAAUGUUUCCUGCCUGGGGAGAGAGACUGCAGUGGCUGAAGUCUGGAAACGGAGCAAGGUCUAUUUUGGAAUAGCAACCAGAUCUCCAGCUCUUUCACUCGUUCACCCAGCGGUGUGUCACAUUCCCCCCACCUCCCCUAUAUGUGCCCCUGUCCUUAUAGAGGACACAUGUGGCUGCAGAUGGAGUCAUCUGGAUCUGCUGAGAUCAUCUCUGCAUCUCCACAUCCUGAUCACACCUGCAAAGACUCACCCUACCUCUUGCCAUGUUAAAACUCAAUCUCCAAUGUAACAGCAUUGAAGAGUGCUGAGGAUGCCGGGGAUUUAGCUCAGUGGCCUCACAAGCGCAAGGUCCCGAGUUCGAUCCCUGGUACCAAAAGAAAGAAAGAAAGAAAGAAAAGAAAGAAAGAAAGGAAAGUGUUGAGGUCACGAGGCUCUGUCUCUGGAAUGAAUUAAUGCUGCUCUUGAUAAGGAAAUAAUGGAUAACAGGGCAGGCCUCUGUCUGUUGCCAAACCUCCCCCCUCCAUGUUUUUGCCAUAAGUUGUUCUGUUUAAGCAAUGUAACUGUUAAAGGUGCAUGAUGUUCC